GAAUCUCGGGCAAUGGGCGCAAGCCUGACCCAGCGACGCCGCGUGGAGGACGAAGGCCUUCGGGUCGUAAACUCCUGUUCUUGGGGAAGAGAAUGACGGUACCCAAGGAGCAAGCCCCGGCUAACUCCGUGCCAGCAGCCGCGGUAAUACGGGGGGGGGCGAGCGUUGUUCGGAAGUACGGGGGGUAAAGGGUGCGUAGGCGGUUCGGGGAGUCUGAGGUGAAAGUCCCCGGCUCAACCGGGGGAGGACCUCAGAAACCCACGGGCUAGAGAGCUGGAGAGGGAAGCGGAAUUCCCGGUGGAGCGGUGAAAUGCGUAGAUAUCGGGAGGAACACCGGAGGCGAAGGCGGCUUCCUGGACAGCAUCUGACGCUGAGGCACGAAAGCUAGGGGAGCGAACGGGA
rnacentral:rRNA from 1 species